GGGUGUGGCAUAGUGGUUUGUGUGUUGGACUGAAACUCUGGAGACCAUGGUUUGAUUCCCUGCUUGGCCA